GACAGAGGGUGCAAACGUUGUUCGGAAUUACUGGGCGUAAAGCGCGUGUAGGCGGCUCGGCAAGUCGGAUGUGAAAGCCCCCGGCUCAACCGGGGAAGUGCAUCCGAAACUACCGAGCUCGAGUGUCGGAGAGGGAAGUGGAAUUCCCGGUGUAGAGGUGAAAUUCGUAGAUAUCGGGAGGAACACCAGUGGCGAAGGCGGCUUCCUGGACGAACACUGACGCUGAGACGCGACAGCGUGGGGAGCAAAC
rnacentral:rRNA from 1 species